CUUACAUUCUGAUAUGCUUUGAGUGGGAACAGGGUGGGGUCACAGCUUGGAAGGAGGGAAGUUCCCAUAACCAGCAGCUCAUGUCACCUCACCACAGGGGCCGUGGGAAAGUGUCAGGAGAGGGUGCUUGCCUGGCAGGGGGACUGAGGCACAGAGCCACUGCCGGGGGCGGGACGGGACACCAAGAGCAUCUUUGCUGUGCCCAACACCGUAGCAUCUUGUGGAUUCUUUCCCAAGGUGUGUUCCACAGAAUACUGGCUCUCUGGCAUGGAGUUUGGGAACCUGCCUGCUGUGCGUCCCUCUCGAGAGUCUCAGUGGCCUUUUGGGUAUUCAAGGCUCUGGUGCUUCAGGAAGAGAAGCCACAGGGAAGAAAGGAGGGCUUCAGACAUUCACAGUCCCGGAGUCAUGGCUGCAUGGUUGACUGGAUUUUUGUCCCCCUAUUGGACUGAGGGGUGUGUGGAACAGAGCUGGAGGGGUGGGCAGAGAGGGGAAAGGCUGUCCUGCCUCUGAGCUCACCCCCCAGGCUGUGGCUGGCCCUCUGCUCCCCCUACUCAAUCUCCUGGCCUUCAGGAUUAAGGACCCUAGGCUGUUACCCCCCAGAUCAUUCUCCACCCACUUCUCUGCCUUUGGAAGCCCCUCUGUCCUCCUCUUGUCCACUCACCUCAAAUACCCCUGAAUUAAUACAAAUAAAAUAAUAAUAGUAGCAAUG
rnacentral:lncRNA from 1 species